rnacentral:sRNA from 1 species
GGGUUUCUGCUCCUCGCGUGUGCGGCACUUUUCCAGUGGCCGAUAAGCAAUUCCGAGGGAGCUGGCUCUGCCAGGGCCGUGGCCUUGGUAUCUGGCGCCCACCUGGUGUAACCAGGCUCUCGGGAAAACACGCCGACACGGUCGCUGCGGUUCCCGC